rnacentral:lncRNA from 1 species
GGGGAAGCGAAAGUUGCUGGAAUUUUGUCUUCUUCUAAAAACAAGGUUAAAAAGGCAAGAAGACAGUGUUUGAUAUUAUUGAAAGACACAGAAAAAGAAUCGAUUGCAGGAAACAAAUAUCGUGCCAUUCUGUGUUUGUUGUUUCCGACAGUUGACAGUCCGAUGCAUUCCAGACUGAUUUCAAACACACAAGUGAGACAUAUCUGCAGAAGGAAGAACCAAAUAUGACGAAUCCACGACAGACCUGACACAAGCCUAUAAGCAUGACACCACCACAGUCGCCCUAGCAGAGCAUAGUUAAAACAAACUAGACAUAAGCUGACAUGUAUAUAAUUAUACCCCCAUGUACAAAGUAUAUUGGGCUAUAUUGGAGUCACGCAUGUUCGCCGGUCCGUUCGUCCGUCCGGCUAUCCACCCAUCGUGUCUGCUGGGAAGAUUUUCAUAAAACUGGCAUCAAUUAUUAUUAAUCUCAAGACGAUAAGCAGAGUUCACAACCCAGGUCACUAGGUCCAAAGUCAAGAUAACUGUUGGAGGUCAAAGGUAAAAUAGCUUCACUUCAUGUCUGCUCCAUAUUGUCUAAACGGCUUUGAAGAUAUUUAGACCGACUAUUCGUAGAAUAAGCAGGGUAAUUGUACUCGCCCUGACGUCGGCGUCACUGACACCGUUGCAUUAAAGUUAAAAUUUCAUAUAAGUGUCACUAUAUCUUCUUAACUACUGCCACUAUUAACAUCAAACUUAAGAUACAAGUUAAUCUUGAAAAGGGGCAGACAUCCUUAUAUUUAGGGCCAGGCGUCCUAAAGGUCAAGGUCAUUGGGGUCAAAUAAUGUAAUAGUGCAAGUUAAAGUUUUAUGACAAGCUUCUCAAUUUCGUUGUAUCUUCUUAACUACUGCUCUGUAAUCCUGAAACCUUACAUAAGAAUUGAUCUUGCAAAGGGGCAGAAAUCUUUUGGUUUAGGGUCAGUUAGCUGAGAGGUCACUUGGGUCAGAUUUUUGUUACUGUGUUGGUUUAAGUUAUAUUGCACACUUCUCAAUGUAACUUAUAACUCAUAAUGUUUCUUGGCACUGCUAUCCCUCAUACCCCACAUUUUAAGACAUACCCACACUUCCUGUACCCCCAAGCCCACACUUACCUAAAAUGCAUUCCUUACACAACCUUAUAUCUCAUUUUAUUCUUAGAUUCCCUCAUCUCCUCUACCCCAUGGCUUCACAUACCUCCCCACCCCAUUUCACCACUUCACUCCCAGUAGAAAAGAUUUAUUUUACAUUUUCCUUACACUUAAUUACAUUUUAUAUCUUGUAUUGCAUAUGUUUAGGCGAUGUUUAAGUAUCCCUUAUUCACUCACUUCUGCCCCCACCCCCACCAACUUCAAAUUUUUUUAAAUUCAUUUUUUUACACAUCUCACACGCCGCAUUUCAAACACCACAUCCCCUCUUCUACAGCCCCGCCCCAACUUUCUUUUAUAAUUUUAUACAUCUUUCACUUAGUUUGUAUUUCAUGUGGAAUCAAGUAUCUCUAUAACCGUUUCCGCCCACCUCUCAUACACACUGCUACCCCUAGCCACUUCCAGAAUAUCUUUUUGUAACAUUUCUCACACUAACGUACGAUUACCUCACUUCCCUCCACCUAAACCCACUCCCCGCGACCAUCCAUCCCAUAAAAAACCCUUUUUACAUCUCCCGAGCUUACUUAUAGAUAUUAAAGUAUCAUAUUGGCUAAUAUUUUCAAAUAGUCGUGCGAGUACAACCCAGAUCACUAGCUCCAAGGUCACAUUUGAAGGUCAAAAGUCAUACAACUUUUUACUUUAUUAAAGCGGCACUUCAGGGUAUUAAUCGCCAUCAAGGAUAACUCUAUUUGAUCAUGUUUAAGCGGCCUAAAUGUGUGACAUUUGCUUAAUUGUAUCAAUUAGUUUUUGUUAAAAUCGAAUAUUUCUAGCUUCGUUUAUUAUCGGUCAUGAAACUAUGUAUCUUUAUUUUUGUCUGGUUACUUCAUUGAAAAAAUAUUUUUAUGAACACAAAAUGCACAUUUGACAUUGACAAAUAAAAAAUCAGGAGCAGCCAAUAUUUUUAAGAAGCAA